AUACGGAGGAUCCGAGCGUUAUCCGGAUUUAUUGGGUUUAAAGGGUGCGCAGGCGGCCAUUUAAGUCAGCGGUUAAAUCGUGGGGCUCAACCCCAUUCUGCCGUUGAUACUGGGUGGCUUGAUUGCGGUCGAGGUUGGCGGAAUUCGUUGUGUAGCGGUGAAAUGCAUAGAUAUGACGAAGAACACCGAUUGCGUAGGCAGCUGACCAGACCGCAAAUGACGCUCAUGCACGAAAGUGCGGGGAUCGAACAGGAUUAGAUACCCUGGUAGUCCGCACAGUAAACGAUGAAUACUUGUUUUCGGCGAUAUAAUGUCGGAGGCAAAGCGAAAGCGGUAAGUAUUCCACCUGGGGAGUACGCCGGCAACGGUGAAACUCAAAUGAAUUGACGGGG
rnacentral:rRNA from 1 species